rnacentral:lncRNA from 1 species
UGAUCUCGACCCUCGGCCUCCCAAAGUGCUGGGAUUACGAGCUGAGCCACCGCCCGGCCUGAAAGUUUUAUCUUGAGCACUGAUGUUCUUAUUGUUAAUGUACUUCCGUCAAUAAAUUAUCAGAGCCUACAAAAUAUUUAAAAAGAAUACAAAACUCCCCAAAUCUACCUGACCCCACCACUAACCAAUUAAUAAAAACGGUUCAGAGGCAUUUUACUUUAACUACCCAGCAAUCUCCUCUUCCUAGUCCUCCCUACAUCGUGACUAGGCUGAAAGAAGAGAUGGCCUACACCAUAAUCAACCAUUGAAAGAUCCAUCAACUUUGUCUGCCAGGAAAACAAUACAAAAUAGAAACAUGAACAAAGGACAGCAAGAGAGUAUAUUAAAUGAUUAUCAGGACUGUGGUGGGCCAAACAGGUGUACCCUCAUUCCUUUUUAGACUCCAAGUCAAUGGUCCAGUAUAUUGUGUAAUAUACCCAACCCAACAUCCUUGCAGUCUUUCAUUACGCCCCCAGUGAUCCUUUUUCAUAUCGAAUAAAGGAAAUAGUUAUUGGCCUAAUAUUUAAAAGUAUUUUCUUAUCCUAGAAGUUCUUUUCUCUCCUCUUCCCCACGCUGAUCUUUUCUUCUAAUCUCUUUCCACCUUAAGACCUUAAGACCAUCACCAAGGAAAACGUCUGUCACUUUUCCGUGGACUGAAAGUUGUUUUCCCAUCUGGCUGGAGACUUGAGUCAUAAAGUUCCUUAAGAUAAGGAUACCAAAUUGUAUUGUUAGAAACUUUGCUCAGAAGUGUUUAAUUCCGCUGUAAAAUAUAGAAUCUCCCAUUGUAAAGUUUAAAUUAAUAGUUCAUAGUACCGACCAAAUAGUACAACCCUCCAAAUUACAUGGGAUUAAAAAAGAUUAGAAGGAAUAAAGAGAAACAGUGUCUCUAUACUCUACUGAUUUACUAGGAGUUGAUUUCUUAAUAGAAAUCAGCAAAUAGUCUAAUACACAAGAGUUUAAUGAUCAAACUUGACUUAAAUUUACUGUUGCUUAUCCUUUAGAAAGUGAUUUUCUUUGAUCAUACAGCAAAGAGAGGAAAUGAAAACUAUUGGGAAAAUAAAUCCUUUAACUAUCUCUAGUCAGCAUUACAGAACAGUAGAAUCAGAUCAAUUAUAAUUAACACUAAUACUUAUUGAGCAUUUACUAUGUUUUAGGCACUGUUUGGUGUUUUAUAUGUGUUAUUUCAUUUAAUUCUCACAAUCUUAUAAAACAGAAUUGUUAUUUCCAUUUCAAAAUAAAACACAGUUUAGAGUGGUGGAAUAAAUACUCCAAGAUGACUUAGAACAUAGAGAAAAUGGGAUUCAAAAUCAGUUGCUGUCACUCUAGAGCCCUUCUUUUAACUACCACAGUGGGCUGGCCAUACAAAACUUAAGAUACUAUUGAAUGAAUAUUACAAGAAAUUUGUAAUCAAAAUG